rnacentral:rRNA from 1 species
GUAGGUGGCAAGCGUUGUCCGGAAUUAUUGGGCGUAAAGCGCGCGCAGGCGGUUCUUUAAGUCUGAUGUGAAAGCCCACGGCUCAACCGUGGAGGGUCAUUGGAAACUGGAGAACUUGAGUACAGAAGAGGAAAGCGGAAUUCCACGUAUAGCGGUGAAAUGCGUAGAGAUGUGGAGGAACACCAGUGGCGAAGGCGGCUUUCUGGUCUGUAACUGACGCUGAGGCGCGAAAGCGUGGGGAGCAAACAGGAUUAGAUACCCUGGUAGUCCACGCCGUAAACGAUGAGUGCUAAGUGUUAGGGGGGUUUCCGCCCCCCUUAGUGCUGCAGCUAACGCAUUAAGCACUCCGCCUGGGAGUACGGCCGCAAGGCUG